CCUCUUUCAAAGUGAUGGCUUGUGGAAUGCUUUGCUAGAUCUUGCAGAGCCCUUUCAGUCAGCUGAUUGGCAGUGCCCACAAUUACCCCCUUUAGGGUGAAUCAGAUUUUUAGCUGACAACAGGUAUGGGGCAGGUGGGUGUGGCCUAACCCAAAUAGGGAAGGCUUAUUAUGUUUACCCCCCCCCCCCCGCUAUGGAUGAAUUGUGUGUAAUUCAGCAUGUGUUGUGGGGGGGGGGGCGCUACCUUGAGAGAAUUCAAAAGUGUGAUCAUUGUAGGGCUGAAUAACGAGUUCUAGCUCUGAAAGUCACAUUGAAAAGUAUGCCAUAAAUUGGAUAGCUGCAGCUGAUCUACAUAUUUAGUUUGCUUGUGAUUGGCAGCAUUUGAAUGAACAUAAUUUAUGAACAUGUUGCAGUUCACAACUCUUGGAGGGCACUUUGAAGGGUGGGCUAAUGAAGUCCAGGUGAACAUUUCUGAGUGCCACAAGCAAGGUUUUUCAGUUAGUUACAUUUUGGGAAAAGGAGAGAGGGGAGUGUCUUCUUGAUAGAUCUUUUUAAGGACCUUGGAGGCUUGCAAAGUUGUCAUAAUCUCCAAAUAGAGGGAAAAAUCAGUGACGCUAAAGACUUCCAGUGUGACUUUGAUACAGGGAAAUAUACUAGAGCAGAUUACAGUGGAGUCAGUUUAUAAACAUUCUGGUUGCAAUGCCGUGAUUAGUAGAAGUCAACAUACGUUUGCCAAGAAUAUAUAAUGGCUGGCUAAUCCAGUUAGUUGAUUGCGGGAAUGCUGUGGAUGUAAUUUACCUCUAUUUUAAUAACAUUCUCCAUGACUUUUGUUAGCAGACUGGUUAAAUGCUAUAUGAGAAUGACAUCAGAUUAAGACCUGGUGUGCUCAUUGGUGAUUCCUCAUCCAGCUGGAGAGAGAGCAAUUACUUUUAUGUAUUACACAAAUAAAUCUCUAAUUUACAGAUAGCACAAAACUUGAAGGGAUAGUUAAAACUUCAGAAGACAGGGAUGAAAUUUUGAAUGAACUUGAUAAAGUGGACUGAACUGAAACUAGUUCUGUGAUGAAUUCUGUCCCCCAACUUCUCAAACAUUUUGAGAACUGGGCCCCUUUGGGAGGAAGAAGGGCAGGAUAGAAAUCUGAUGAAUCAGAUCUGAUAAAUAAAAUUUAGACAAGGAAAAUAAAAAAGAUAGAAAGGAAUAAUUCCAUCACAGUUGUGAUUUGAUUGGGCCCCCUGUGUGGUCCAUUUACCAUUUGAGUGAUUGAGGUUCAGGGAAUGGCAAUGAGAUAUUGGAGGAGUGACCUAUUGUGUGCCUGCCCUUGAGGUGAGGAGACAGGAGUGUGUGGAAACACCCCCCCCAAUAACCUUUGUGAAAUAAAGUGCUAGUGUAGUUGGAGUCUGUACAUGGAAUUGGGGUGCUGUUGUCCUUUCUUGGUCCUGCAACUUUUCACCCACGCAGCAAGAGCUAAAACAGCUUUCCAAAGCACAAAGAAAAAAGUAUUGGAGACAAGGAAUUUGCGAAUCUGCCAAUUUUGGUUUCUUUCUGUUUCUUGCUUUUCAAUGCCUAAGACUUUACUAUUCCACAUAAGUUUUUUUUUUUAAGUGCUUAUGAAAAUUCACUAGCAUUUUAGUGCAUAUUUCUCCUAAUCUGCAUAGUUUUGCAAAAUACUUUUAUAUGUUGUUUUCACUAAUAUAUGCAUUUUUGUACACAUUGCUUGGCUGGAGAAGUGCAUCACAAAAUUUGGAGGAGAGAGAAUUUCAAAGGAUUUAUGUGCGUUGGGUUGUUUCGGAAAGUUUAGAUUGGAUAGAUUUCCCUUUAAAUAAGAAUUUCUUCUCCAUCCCUCCUUGAGAAGCAGCUUACAAACCAGCAUUUAAAAUAAAAGAUCAAAGCAAUAAACAGGGCAAAUAAAAGCAGCUCAUGAUUAAUAGUAGAUCUAAUAUUCAGAUUUCCCUCAUGCAAAUCAAAUUGAAAGAAAAUGAUGAAAGCUUUUCUGUUAAUUAUGACACUUGUGAAGAUACAUUACUAGAGUGGCUUUAAUUUGCUUUGUUCUCAUGUUUUUGUUUUUGUCUCCAGUGUUGCUUGGGAAUUCUAGGAAACCAAAAAUAAUCUCCAGUUUUGAAAUUGGUUGUUAAAACCAGUGCAGUUUUGAAAGGUUCAGCCCACCAUCUUGAUUCAAAAUGGUGUCAAAUUGCACCCAGGAAGGCUUUGAAACAAUCAGGCCUUUGAGCUGAAAACCAUUCUGCAGACCUGCUUUGACCACUACACUACACUGUCUUUUGUAGGUUAGGGGAUUUCAGGAUUUUGUAAGCUACCUUCCAAACAUUAUCAAUAUGGCAUAAUGUAAAUAUAUUAAACAUAAAAGUUAUAGUUUUCUAGUAUUGCAAUUAUUUUUGCAGUAAGUUCAUGCUAAGAAGCAAUGGAUAGAAACUUUGAUAUGGUUAUAAAAUGUGUCCUUGUGUAUGAAAGAGUCACAUGUCUGUUGCAGCUGUAUUCCUCUGUAUUGUGGUAUAGAAAAGACCUUGGUGCCCGAAACAAACAAACAAACAAAUAAAAAAAUGCCCAGGUUCUGUGCUAGCAUUGAAUGUAUGAAUGCUACUGUUUGAUCAUCCUGGUCUACUGAAGCACACACAGAGCCUUUAAAAAAACCCCCCAAAAUCCUGCAAUUCUUGCUGAUUGAGGUGGGGGUGAGGCUUAAUCAAUUCUAGGAUUGUAAGAAAGGGUAUAGUGCCAACAGGUGCUGGAUUUUAGAGCCGAAUCUAUGUGGAACACCUGUUGAACCCCAAUUCCAUGGAGUAUAUAUGUUAUUUGCAAACAUUCCUGUUGGUGAGGGGAGAGGCUCGGAUGUAACAUGGGCGCCAAGGGAGGGCCUCAAGGCCAUUGUGCCCAUGGGUGUCAUGUUGGCAAUCUCAGUGUUAAAAUUAUGUGCCUCACUUGUUUGGAGUGACUGAGUUCUGUAUGCAUGGCUAUAUUUGUGUGUGGUCUUCUGUACAGCUUUUCCAAACAAAACCAAAAUGCCACACAGUUUUCCAGAUGUUUUUAGAGUACUGCAUCUCCCAACAGUCCCACCUAGCCCCAACCAGUCUAACACCAGAACCCAAUGAAACUGAAUGUUGGAACAUUAAAGGCAGAUAAAGGAAAUCGUUUAUUCAUGCAGCACAUGGUUAAACUAUGGAACACGCUCCCUCAUCAGUCAGUGAUGACCACCAACUUCAAAAGGAUUAGGCAAAUUCAUGGAGGGUGAGGCUAUGUUCUACCCCCACUGUCAGAGGCAGUAAUGCUUCUGAGUGGCUGGAAAUGACAGAAGGGUAGAGUUCUCUAAUGUUUGGCUUGUGCUUGUGGGUUUCUCACAGGCAUUUGUUUUUUUUUGUGUGUGUUUUUUUUUAGAUGAUAUUUAUUAGAAGUUUAAAGAUUACAGAAAAAAGAAAAAAAGACAACAAUAAAAAAAAGCAAUACAGCAAUACAGCAAAAAACAAAACAAAAAAACAAACAAAACUAAAACACACAAACAAUAUUCCAUAUCUUUACCUUUCCUUUACUUGUUUCAUUGACCUCCUCACACCUCCCUUUUUUUGUAUUCUGGUUCAGUUCACUAUUUCAGCAAAUUCUUUCCAUCUUUCUCGAUUUUUGUUCUAUAAUUUAUCUUAAUGGUCUAACCUUAAAUUUUUUCAUUUUGGCCCAUUAUCAGUCAGCUUUUACUUAAUUCUUUGUUACAUUUCUACUAAAACCAUAUAGCUUCAUUCCAGCAUCCUUCUAACACUCAUUAAUUUUACAAUGUUUCUGUAAAUAUACUUUAAAUUUUUUCCAAUCUUCUUCCACCGACUCUUCUCCCUGGUCUCAGAUUCUGCCAGUCAUUUCCACCAGUUCCAUGUAGUCCAUCAGUUUCAUCUGCCAUUCUUCCCUGGUGGGUAGAUCUUGUGUCUUCCAAUGCUUUGCGAUAAGUAUUCUUGCUGCUGUUGUAGCAUACAUAAAGAAGGUUCUAUCCUUCUUUGGCACCAAUUGGCCGACCAUGCCCAGGAGAAAGGCCUCUGGUUUCUUCAGGAAGGUAUAUUUAAAUACCUUUUUCAUUUCAUUAUAGAUCAUCUCCCAGAAUGCCUUAAUCUUUGGGCAUGUCCACCAAAGGUGAAAGAAUGUACCUUCAGUUUCAUUACAUUUCCAACAUUUGUUAUCGGGCAGAUGAUAGAUUUUUGCAAGCUUGACUGGUGUUAUGUACCACCUAUAAAUCAUUUUCAUUAACUUCUCUUUUAAGGCAUUACAUGCCGUAAACUUCAUACCAGUGGUCCAUAACUGUUCCCAGUCAGCCAUCAUAAUAUUAUGUCCAACAUCUUGUGCCCAUUUAAUCAUAGCAGAUUUCACCAUUUCAUCUUGAGUAUUCCAUUUCAACAGCAAGUUAUACGUUCUUGACAAAUUCUUAACUUUAGGGUCUAACAAUUCUGUUUCCAAUUUUGAUUUUUUCACCUGGAAGCCUAGUUUUUUAUCCAAGUUAUAUGCCUCCAUUAUUUGAUAAUAAUGGAGCCAAUCUCGUUCUCUGUUUUUUAAUUUUUCAAAGCUCUGCAGUUUUAAUCUGUCACCCUCUUGUUCCAAAAUUUCCCAUCUCACAGGCAUUUGGUUUGCCGCUCUGAGAACAGUAUGCUGGGUAAGAUGAUCCAGCAGGCUGUCCUUACAUUCUUAUGCCAGGUUGGGGAAGACUGGUCUGUGCAUAUAUUUUUGUAGACUUGAAAACAAAUGUCUAUCCUUUCUGAAUGCAAAUAAUCCUGAAUGCAAACAAUGCAACCACGAAUAUUGUCAGUACUUUGAUGUAGUCUGUUUUGCUAUUUAUAAGUUCAGAAAAAAGUGUUUGUGUGUGUGUGUGUUUGAUAGCAUCGUUCUAAAUGCCAUGCUCGUCAUAUAAAGCUUUUUACAAAACCAUUUGCUUUCUAGAUGUUUUAAUGAAAUUGAACAUCUCCAGUUACGUAAUUGAACAAUACAGAAACAUUUUACAUUUGAAGUCCCUAAUUUUAUUUUAGUCACAGUGUGUGUGUGUGUGUGUGUGUGUGUGUGUGUGUUUAAUGCAUUUUGCUAUUUAAAAUGACUGGCUAAAAUGACUGACUAAAGUGCCCUAUCUUCAAACCUUGCAAAGAGCAUCUACAUAAAAUUCCAGCUACCACAUGGUGAUAGCCAUUUUACAUUCAUUGUAGCAGAAUUGCUUGGAAUGCUCCAGAGUGUGGUUUCAAGCUAACUGCAUAGCAGGUACCCAGCAGAGGAGUUAAUGUAUCCUUUUGAUCUUUCCCUGAUACAGCACUCUCCUUUUCCACUGUUUACAAUUCCAAUUCCAAAUGUCUUUCAGAAAUGACAUUUUGAGCAUGGCGUUCUCCUGCCAAGAAAGGAAGAUGGCGUAUCAUUCCCUUGGGGGGUUCAUAUUUUGCCUUCCUUCUUAUUGAAUAAUCAUGGAAGUUUCUCUACUGCUGCAAUAAUGACUCACCUGUGUACAUAUAUGUGCACAUGCCAGACGUAGCUUGUUUUUCAGCUAUCUUUGUUUCAGCUCUUUUACCCUUGACCUCCUGCUUUCCCCCAGUCACUUAAAUUUAGGAAAAUGGUAGGAAACAUCAGGUCUUGGGAAGGUAGUCAUAUAUAGCCCCCAGAUACUGCUUUCUGGCACUUAGGAUUCUCCUCAGGCCAUGCCUCUCACAAUCCCUCCUAAAACUCCUGUUGUCCGACUGGAAUGUCCCCUUGAGCUGUGAUAAGGUUGCUUGCUUGCCUGGAUUAAAUACGUGUGUUUUUAUUUAGAAAUUUGAUACUUUUGCAUAGCCAAAAUGUAUGGAUGUUUUAGUUGAGAUUCCUGCAUUGCAAGGGGUCUGGCUGAGAUGACCCUCAGAGUCCUUUCCAAUUCUACAACUCUGUGAUUUUAUACAAAUGUAAGUCACAUCUAUUGUUUCAUUCAGUUUUGCUUCUGUCAACUGCUCAAUAUGGGCAUGCAGCUCAUUGGAUAUGGCCCUUGUGGCUUUUCCCUUGUGGCCUGUCCUCUGUCAGUUCACCCCAAUGUCUGCAUUGCAACUCAGUUGUGAGUAAACAUGCUGGUGACUGUCUACUUGCAUCCACUUGCAGGCUUGCCUGCACCUCCUUCUUGGCCUUCAGGUGCUUCUUUCCCACUUGUCCCAGCAAAAGUGAGUAUGUCUGCUGAGAGAUAGACUUUUAGUGUUGUGGGAGAGACAGCACUAUCCAUAUAUCCCAACCUUCACCAGUCUGGUGCCCUCUGCAUGUUUUGGAUUACAAUUUCUAUCAUCCCUGACCAUUGAUCAUGUUGGCUGAGGCUGAUUAGUACUGCUGUCUGAAACAUAUGGAUGAUAUAGAGUAGGAAGGCUGACUUGCAGUAGUUAUCCUGUAUUUCAGAGAGGAAUCUUCCCAGCCCUAGAUGGGAAGACUAGGGACCUUCUACCACUUAGCCAUGACCCUCUAUCAUCUUAAUGCUACCUUAAGGUAUGCCUCAAUUUCAUAGCAACCUCUGUAAAGUCCUUGGGUCUGGGAUGGGUAACCUGUGGCCAUCCAACAGUUGCUGAACUACAAAUCCCAAAGAAUUUCAAGAUUUGUGGACCCCCCCCCAACACCUUACACCUCCAUCUUUAGCAAUAGCAGCCUGCCCAUAUGGGGGCUUUCAAUGCCAUCUUCUGCAACAUUAUGUUCAGUUCAUUAUUUUUGCUGUUAGCUCACUAAGUAAGCUGCAAAAUAAAGGGUAAGGGUACUUGAUAUUUAGACCAUAUUGCCCAUCCUCCUGCUGCAAUCUGUCAAUUCUGUUGUCACUCCCACUAUGCAAGUUGCAAACAAAACAAAACAUUAUAAAAAUGGAAGGAACAUGUGCAGGUAGGUGCAAAGAAACUUGCUCUGUCAUAUGCCAGUUCAUUCAAAUCUCUUGGGUCUUUUUCCUCUGUGCCCCCCCAAGAGUUUUUCCUAAGGCUACAAGAAACAUCAUACUUUACUCUUAUUCCAACCACUUUUUGCAAACCAAUGUACUACAGUGUUUAAGACCUUGCUUGUUUCAUUCUCAUACUGGGUAAAAUAGACGGCAUACACACCAUACAUUUGAAGCACACGACUUCCCACCCUAAAGAAUCCCGGGAACUGUGUGUACCUUUUGUAAAGCUACAAUUAACAGACUACAUGUCCCAGGAGUCUUCGUGAGAACGCAUGUGCUCUAAAUGUGUGGUGUCUUUAUGACAUAUGUCCUUUGAGGACCAAACUACAUGUUAUGCUAUUUUCACUUUAAGAAACAAACAAACGGAGGAAAGCAUAAGAACCUAAGAACCACUCUGUUGGAUCAGGCCAAAGGCUCAUCUAGACCAGCAUCCUGUUCUCACAGUGGGCAAUCGGAUGCCCCAUUGGGAAGCCCAUGUGCAACAGCCCUCAGUUGUGAUUCCUCAGAAACAGAUUUUCAGAGGCUUUAGAGCCCUGCCAGUCCCUGACAAUACCACCUUUAUUUUCAGUAGCCAGUGGGCUGGGGUCGCUGAUGCUUCUGCAAGGACUGGAGAUCUCCCUGGCUUACUGGCUGGUGGGCUAGGGCCAGCUGGGUGCUUGCAAAUUGCCCCCGUUUCCUUGGAUGCAUCCCAACAGUGGCAUGGGUGGGGGCAUCCUUGCCUUUCGAGCUUCCCAACACAAUGAGUCACUGGUUCUUACAGAGGGUGAAGGGUGUUGGAAAACAAGCCUCUUCGGGAGAGUCUGGCCCCUCUCCCAGGCUCUCGGCUUGUUUACCGGUGACCUCCCUGGCCGGCAUCCCCGCAAGUCCAGGAAGAUAUUGAUAUAGGCGACAUUUCCCAGCGUGGAAAAUGCACACCCCCUCCCUCCUUGCUUCCCUAGCAGGGAAAGGAGAUAGCCAGAAAUCUAUUUACAUCUCUUUAUUUCUGACUUUGCAGCACUACAGAAAACAUGUCCGAUCACUUCAGACUUCAGCAAGCAAGUGACGAAGACGUCCUUUACAAACACAACAGGAAGGUCUCAUAUUACACACUGAGCAAAUUCCGGUGAAUCGCCCUGUGAACUGACUGUAACAUUGUUUCCCACAGUCAGCCCCAUCAUGUGAUGUUUUCACCGAGCUGGUUUGCAGCUGCGUUGCAUUCAUAUCGUAACAAAGGGGAGUGAGGGAUGAGGUGUGGGGAGGUCAUCACAGAGCAGUGUGUGAUGGUGAGACCAAUCCAAUAACUCCUGCCACCAUGCGG
rnacentral:lncRNA from 1 species